UUUCCGUAGGUGAACCUGCGGAAGGAUCAUUACUGAGAUGGGGUCCCUCGGGGCCCGACCUCCAACCCUUUGUGAACCAAACUUGUUGCUUCGGGGGCGACCCUGCCGCUUCGGCGGUGCGGCGCCCCCGGAGGCCAUUAAACACUGCAUCAUUGCGUCGGAGUUAAAGUAAAUUAAACAAAACUUUCAACAACGGAUCUCUUGGUUCCAGCAUCGAUGAAGAACGCAGC
rnacentral:misc_RNA from 1 species